rnacentral:rRNA from 1 species
UACAGAGGUCUCAAGCGUUGUUCGGAUUCAUUGGGCGUAAAGGGUGUGUAGGUGGCGCCGUAAGUCGGGUGUGAAAUCUCGGGGCUUAACUCCGAAACUGCAUUCGAUACUGCGGUGCUUGAGGACUGGAGAGGAGACUGGAAUUCAUGGUGUAGCAGUGAAAUGCGUAGAGAUCAUGAGGAAGACCAGUGGCGAAGGCGACUCUUUGGCCUGUAACUGACACUGAGGCGCGAAAGCGUGGGGAGCAAACAGG